UAUUGUUGCCCCCAACCCCGUUAUGAGGCAACGGUUGUGAAGGACCGUUAGUGGUCCUGCUCAGCCAUUGGUGGGUGCGGCAAUGGGUCCCGCCCACAAGCAACUGUCAAUAAGCGACUGUUAGCGGUCCCGUUGCGCCAUUGGUUGGUGCAGCAGUGGGUCCUGCCCACAAGCAACCAACUGUCAAGGAGCGGCCAUUAGUGAGGAAUUCAGCCAGCGAUCGGUGAGUGGUGGUCAUCAGGUGGAGAGUGAGAUGCUGCUGACAAAGGUACUGUCAUCUCGUUUCGACUAUAAAGGAAGAAUCCAAAGCUGAAGAUAAGGCUACCAAACUUUGGAACCAUGAUGCUGCAGCCAGCUGCAAGGUGUGUAAAAUUCAGAAGUCAGACCACUGACCCAAAUGAUGGCUAAAGAACUCAGACUAUUGAUGCAUUUGAAUUGUUCAGUGUGUGGAGGAACUGCUGGGCUAUUACCUAAGCCUCAGGAUUUAUAGCAUACAAUGGAGCAGAAUGCAGAACUGCUUGGAAUAUACCCAAUGCUCAAAAGAGAAGUCAUGACUGAAAAAAAAAAAACAAACACUUUGCUCAAUUAUACAACAAAAUUCCCCUCAGGGAGUUAGUCUGUAUAAACUCCAAGUGAACAUAGCAUCCGCUCUGUCAUCUUGCAUUGUUCUCUGAAAGUGCAAAUUAGUAAAGAAGCAGAAAAGAAUUUAUGAUGCCCUGAA